GUUGGGUUAAGUCCCGCAACGAGCGCAACCCUCAUCCUUAGUUACCAGCGGGUAAUGCCGGGCACUUUAAGGAAACUGCCAGUGAUAAACUGGAGGAAGGUGGGGAUGAUGUCAAGUCAGCACGGCCCUUAUGGGGUGGGCUACACACGUGCUACAAUGGCGACUACAAUAGGUUGCAACGUCGCAAGGCUGAGCUAAUCCGUAAAAGUCGUCUCAGUUCGGAUUGUCCUCUGUAACUCGAGGGCAUGAAGUCGGAAUCGCUAGUAAUCGUCGAUCAGCAUGCCACGGUGAAUACGUUCUCGGGUCUUGUACACACCGCCCGUCACGCCAUGGGAAUUGGCUUAACUCGAAGCUGGUGCGC
rnacentral:rRNA from 1 species